CACGUAGGGCGCAAGCGUUGUCCGGAAUUAUUGGGCGUAAAGAGCUCGUAGGCGGACUGUCACGUCUGCUGUGAAAAGCUGGGGCUUAACCCUGGCCUUGCAGUGGAUACGGGCAGACUAGAGGUAGGUAGGGGAGAAUGGAAUUCCCGGUGUAGCGGUGAAAUGCGCAGAUAUCGGGAGGAACACCGGUGGCGAAGGCGGUUCUCUGGACAGUUCCUGACACUGAGACACGAAGGCCAGGGGAGCAAACGGG
rnacentral:rRNA from 1 species